AUUGAACGCUGGCGGCAGGCCUAACACAUGCAAGUCGAGCGGAUGAAGGGAGCUUGCUCCUGGAUUCAGCGGCGGACGGGUGAGUAAUGCCUAGGAAUCUGCCUGGUAGUGGGGGGUAACGUCCGGAAACGGGCGCUAAUACCGCAUACGUCCUGAGGGUGAAGGUGGGGGGUCUUCGGACCUCCCGCUCGCAGGUGAGCCUAGGUGGGAUUAGUUAGUUGGUGGGGUAAGGGCCUACCAAGCCGCGGAUCGGUAACUGGUCGGACAGGAUGAUCGGUCACAAUGGAACGGAGACACGGACCAGAGGCCUACGGGAGGCAGCAGUGGGGAAUAGUAGACAAUAGGGGGAAGUAUGAUCCAGCCAUGCCGAGUGUGUGGAGAAGGUGUUCGGAUUGUAAAGAACUUCAUGUGGGGGGGAAGGGCAGUAAGUUAAUACCUUGCUGUUUUGACGGUACCAGCAGAAGAAGCACCGGCUAACUACGUG
rnacentral:rRNA from 1 species